UAGUAUUAGACCUCUUUUAGAAUUUCUAGCAGGUCUUCCAGUUUCCACCAGAAAACCCCA
ensembl:snRNA U7 U7 small nuclear RNA